rnacentral:rRNA from 1 species
ACCGGCGGAAGGGCUAGUAAUGGUAUCGAACGUGCCCCAAGGUGGGGGAUAGCCGCGGGAAACUGCGGGUAAUACCCCAUGUGCUCUCCGGAGGAAAGCUGCGGCGCCUUGGGAGCGGCGAUACUCCUAUCAGGUUGUUGGUGAGGUAAUGGCUCACCAAGCCGAAGACGGGUAGCGGGUGUGAGAGCAUGACCCGCAGCAUCGAGACUGAGACACUGCUCGGACUCCUACGGGAGGCUGCAGUAACGAAUCUUCCGCAAUGCGCGAAAGCGUGACGGAGCAAUGCCGCGUGUGGGAUGAAGCGGUUUUCCGUGUAAACCACUGUCAGGGUCUAGGAAGAACUGACCGGACCCAGAGGAAGGGGCGGCUAACCUCGUGCCAGCAGCCGCGGUAAGACGAGGGCCCCGAGCGUUAAUCGGAAUCACUGGGCUUAAAGGGUGCGUAGGCGGAUCGGCAAGCGUCUUGUGAAAUCCCUCGGCUCAACCGGGGAAUUGCUGGGCGAACUGCUGGUCUUGAGGGAGCUAGAGGCUGUCGGAACGUUCGGUGGAGCGGUGAAAUGCGUAGAGAUCGAACGGAACGUCGAAGGCGAAGGCAGGCAGCUGGGGCUCUCCUGACGCUCAGGCACGAAAGCGUGGGGAUCAAACAGGAUUAGAUACCCUGGUAGUCCACGCCGUAAACGAUGUGCACUUGGCCGAU